AUGGCAUUGAAAGACGAGGUUGUCAAAAGGCUGAGGAUGAAUGCUGGCAUGUUUGAUAUCAAGUACAUUGACGAUUAUCACAAGUGGGUGAAGUUGGAGUGCACUGCAGACUUGGAAGAAUGCAUAGAAAUCUCCCGGCAUUCUGGUACCCAUGUCAUCAGGCUGUUGGUUAGCGACGUUGUGGCCCAGAUUGGUAGUUCUUGUGGAAGCUCGGGUUGA
rnacentral:rRNA from 1 species